GCCCGCUUGGCCCAGUGGUAAGGCGUGUCACUCGUAGCGUCAACAAUUACGUAGGCUGCAUCCCGCGUUUCGUAAUGUCAAUUGCGCCUGCGAUAUGACAAGAUCAGUUGUUCGAAUCAGCUAGUGGGCA